rnacentral:rRNA from 1 species
AUCCUGGUGGCGAGUGGCGAACGGGUGAGUAAUAUAUCGGAACGUGCCCAGUCGUGGGGGAUAACGCAGCGAAAGCUGUGCUAAUACCGCAUACGAUCUAUGGAUGAAAGCGGGGGAUCGCAAGACCUCGCGCGAUUGGAGCGGCCGAUAUCAGAUUAGCUAGUUGGCGGGGUAAAAGCCCACCAAGGCGACGAUCUGUAGCUGGUCUGAGAGGACGACCAGCCACACUGGAACUGAGACACGGUCCAGACUCCUACGGGAGGCAGCAGUGGGGAAUUUUGGACAAUGGGCGCAAGCCUGAUCCAGCAAUGCCGCGUGCAGGACGAAGGCCUUCGGGUUGUAAACUGCUUUUGUACGGAACGAAACGGUCUCUCCUAGUACGAGAGGCUAAUGACGGUACCGUAAGAAUAAGCACCGGCUAACUACGUGCCAGCAGCCGCGGUAAUACGUAGGGUGCAAGCGUUAAUCGGAAUUACUGGGCGUAAAGCGUGCGCAGGCGGUUAUAUAAGACAGAUGUGAAAUCCCCGGGCUCAACCUGGGACCUGCAUUUGUGACUGUAUAGCUAGAGUACGGUAGAGGGGGAUGGAAUUCCGCGUGUAGCAGUGAAAUGCGUAGAUAUGCGGAGGAACACCGAUGGCGAAGGCAAUCCCCUGGACCUGUACUGACGCUCAUGCACGAAAGCGUGGGGAGCAAACAGGAUUAGAUGCCCUGGUAGUCCACGCCCUAAACGAUGUCAACUGGUUGUUGGGUCUUCACUGACUCAGUAACGAAGCUAACGCGUGAAGUU